rnacentral:rRNA from 1 species
UACAGAGGCCUCGAGCGUUAGGCGGAAUCACUGGGCUUAAAGCGUGUGUAGGUGGAUGCCUAAGUACCUUGUGAAAUCCCACGGCUCAACCGUGGAACUGCUCGGUAUACUGGCGGUCUUGAGCCACCUAGGGGCAACUGGAACAAGCGGUGGAGCGGUGAAAUGCGUAGAUAUCGCUUGGAACGCCAACGGUGAAAACAGGUUGCUGGGGGUGUGCUGACGCUGAGACACGAAAGCCAGGGGAGCGAACGGG